UUUCCGUAGGUGUACCUGCGGAAGGAUCAUUAUUGUAUAACCGAGGUGCGAGUGCUGUCGCUGACCCGAAAGGUCGUGCACGCCCGAGUGCCCUCACACACAUCCAUCUCACCCCUAUGUGCACCACCGCGUGGGUCCCCCUUUGGCUUGUUCGGAGGGGGGCUUACGUUUUCACACAAACUUUGUAUGCAGUGUAGAAUGUAUUUUUUGUUUUUGCGAUCACGCAAUCAAUACAACUUUCAACAACGGAUCUCUUGGCCCUCGCAUCGAUGAAGAACAGC
rnacentral:misc_RNA from 1 species